GUGCGAGACCGAUAGCGAACAAGUACCGUGAGGGAAAGAUGAAAAGAACUUUGAAAAGAGAGUUAAAGAGUACCUGAAACUGCUGAAAGGGAAGCGAAUCGUAUCCAGUGUCUAUAAUCUGCGGCAUAUUUCAUUGGCGGCAGUGUGCGUGCUUUUGCGUCGGAAGCGGCUUUUGUUGCUCUGUGCUUUUGCUGUGCGUGCUGUUGCUGGUGCCCUGUGUUGCGGUGGGACGUCAGAGUCAGUUCGUAUGCUGCGGGAAAUGGCCGCCGAGGAGGUAGGUCAGGACUUCGGUCUUGGCUGUUAUAUCUUGGUGGUUUGUUGUCGUGGUUGAGACUGAGGUGCCUACAAUGUGCUUUUGAGUGUACCGGGUUCUCAUUUGGUGGACUGUUUGGAUAGCUUGCUAUGCUUGUGGUUUUUUCAUCGGGUGAUUGAGUCUGGUGGUAACUUGUUGCUGUUCGGGACUUUG
rnacentral:rRNA from 2 species